AGAGUUUGAUCCUGGCUCAGAAUGAACGUUGGCGGCGUGGAUUAGGCAUGCAAGUCGAGCGAGAACCCGCAAGGGGGACAGCGGCGAACGGGGUAGUAAGGCGUAGGUGACGUGCCCUUAGGACCGGAAUAGCCACGGGAAACUGUGGGUAAUGCCGGAUAAUCUCUUUGGAUUUGAACAUCCGAUGAGCAAUGGGUGUGAUUCCGCCUUUGGAGCGGCUUACGUGGUAUUAGCUAGUUGGUGAGGUAAUGGCUCACCAAGGCGACGAUGCCUAGGGGGUGUGAGAGCAUGGCCCCCACCACUGGGACUGAGAUACUGCCCAGACACCUACGGGUGGCUGCAGUCGAGAAUCUUCGGCAAUGGACGAAAGUCUGACCGAGCGACGCCGCGUGCGGGAUGAAGGCCUUCGGGUUGUAAA
rnacentral:rRNA from 1 species